GAUGAACGCUGGCGGCGUGCCUAAUACAUGCAAGUCGAGCGAAUGGAUUAAGAGCUUGCUCUUAUGAAGUUAGCGGCGGACGGGUGAGUAACACGUGGGUAACCUGCCCAUAAGACUGGGAUAACUCCGGGAAACCGGGGCUAAUACCGGAUAACAUUUUAAACCGCAUGGUUCGAAAUUGAAAGGCGGCUUCGGCUGCCACUUAUGGAUGGACCCGCGUCGCAUUAGCUAGUUGGUGAGGUAACGGCUCACCAAGGCAACGAUGCGUAGCCGACCUGAGAGGGUGAUCGGCCACACUGGGACUGAGACACGGCCCAGACUCCUACGGGAGGCAGCAGUAGGGAAUCUUCCGCAAUGGACGAAAGUCUGACGGAGCAACGCCGCGUGAGCGAUGAAGGCUUUCGGGUCGUAAAACUCUGUUGUUAGGAAAGAACAAGUGCUAGUUGAAUAAGCUGACACCUUGACGGUACCUAACCAGAAAGCCACGGCUAACUACGUGCCAGCAGCCGCCGUAA
rnacentral:rRNA from 1 species